rnacentral:rRNA from 1 species
AACGUCGUGAGACAGUUCGGUCCCUAUCCGUCGUGGGCGUAGGAAAUUUGAGAGGAGCUGUCCUUAGUACGAGAGGACCGGGAUGGACGCACCGCUGGUGUACCAGUUGUUCUGCCAAGGGCAUAGCUGGGUAGCUAUGUGCGGAAGGGAUAAGUGCUGAAAGCAUCUAAGCAUGAAGCCCCCCUCAAGAUGAGAUUUCCCAUAGCGUAAGCUAGUAAGAUCCCUGAAAGAUGAUCAGGUUGAUAGGUUCGAGGUGGAAGCAUGGUGACAUGUGGAGCUGACGAAUACUAAUAGAUCGAGGACUUAACCAUAUAA